AAAACUCUAAAUUUUUCUCCAACCCUACUCUAUAUAGAACUCUAAAAUAGAGAAAUCAGCAGAAUUGUUUUAUAUAUAGAGUGACUAUAUUUUCUUCUAUGUUUUAGAGUUGAUUGUUUUAUUUAUACUUUAGUCCUUCAAAUUUAAUUUAAUUGAACCGUCCUUCUCUUCUUUGACUUUCCUUCUCUUCUCUGCCACGUUAUCAUCCACGUCAUCCUUCGCUUCCUCUAAAGAAUGCUGAAUCCGUUUUCUCACAUACGUCUGAUGAACCUUAUCACCCUUCUCGUGUGGCAUUUGCGGUGAGCUUUUGGCUGUAAAGGGCGAUUGGUGAACACAUGAGAAGAACUGUGGGAAAUAUUGGGUUUGCCGUUUGCGAUUAGGGUUCUGAUUUUAAACACAAACGUUUGGGCCUGGUUGUGGGCCUUAUCCGACUGGUUUUUUUAAUAGCAGACUUCUAAUUUAUCUGUCUCCAAAACUUUGUUCUUUUAAAUUUGGGCAUCUUUUGCUCUUCGCUUAUGGAGUAUCUAUUUACUUUAGAAUAAUAAUACAAUGUGGUAUCUAAUUGUUCCAAAUUAGGAACACGAAGUCUACCAUUACAUUUUUCAUCUCUAUAUUAGUUAAUAACACAAAGGUAUAAAUGAGAAAAUGGCCUUCAUUGUUUAUAAUAAUUACUACAAAUGUAAUUCAGAGAAAAUUAUCAUUAAUUGUCUCGUUUAAGAUAGAAUAGGGUUUGAAUUUAUCAAA
rnacentral:sRNA from 1 species